AGGGCAUGUCCAGGGGGU
rnacentral:miRNA from 1 species